rnacentral:tRNA from 1 species
UGCAGAAAAAUGUGGUUAUAUUAGGGGAGUAGUAAAAUCAAUUGUCCAUG